rnacentral:rRNA from 1 species
GCAUAUCAAUAAGCGGAGGAAAAGAACCCAACAGGGAUUGCCCUAGUAACGGCGAGUGAAGCGGCAACAGCUCAAAUUUGAAAUCUGGCUCUUUCAGAGUCCGAGUUGUAAUUUGCAGAGGGCGCUUUGGCUUUGGCAGCGGUCCAAGUUCCUUGGAACAGGACGUCACAGAGGGUGAGAAAUCCCGUACGUGGUCGCUAGCUAUUGCCGUGUAAAGCCCCUUCGACGAGUCGAGUUGUUUGGGAAUGCAGCUCUAAAUGGGAGGUAAAUUUCUUCUAAAAGCUAAAUAUUGGCCAGAGACCGAUAGCGCACAAGUAGAGUGAUCGAAAGAUGAAAAGCACUUUGGAAAGAGAGUCAAACAGCACGUGAAAUUGUUGAAAGGGAAGCGCUUGCAGCCAGACUUGCUUGCAGUUGCUCAUCCGGGCUUUUGCCCGGUGCACUCUUCUGUAGGCAGGCCAGCAUCAGUUUGGGCGGUGGGAUAAAGGUCUCUGUCACGUACCUCUCUUCGGGGAGGCCUUAUAGGGGAGACGACAUACCACCAGCCUAGACUGAGGUCCGCGCAUCUGCUAGGAUGCUGGCGUAAUGGCUGUAAGCGGCCCGUCUUGAAACACGGACCAAGGAGUCUAACAUCUAUGCGAGUGUUUGGGUGUCAAGCCCGAGCGCGUAAUGAAAGUGAACGGAGGUGGGAACCCGCAAGGGUGCACCAUCGACCGAUCCUGAAGUUUACGGAAGGAUUUGAGUAAGAGCAUGGCUGUUGGGACCCGAAAGAUGGUGAACUAUGCUUGAAUAGGGUGAAGCCAGAGGAAACUCUGGUGGAGGCUCGCAGCGGUUCUGACGUGCAAAUCGAUCGUCAAAUUUGGGCAUAGGGGCGAAAGACUAAUUCGAACUAUUCUAGUAGCUGGUUUCUGCCGAAGUUU